UUAAAUGUUAAAACCAAAAUGAACAUUUUUAAAAUAAAAUGUUAAGCAGGGUCGGGCCUGGUUAGUACUUGGAUGGGAGACCACCUGGGAAAACCAGGUGCUGUAGGCG
rfam:Pteropus alecto contig99097, whole genome shotgun sequence.